rnacentral:rRNA from 1 species
UACGGAGGGUGCAAGCGUUGUCCGGAAUCACUGGGCGUAAAGGGCGCGUAGGCGGCUCAUGAAGGCUGUGGUGAAAGUCCGGGGCUCAACCUCGGAUCGGCCGUGGCGACUCGUGGGCUGGAGCACUGUAGAGGCGGGUGGAAUUCCGGGUGUAGCGGUGGAAUGCGUAGAGAUCGGGAGGAACAUCAGUGGCGAAAGCGGCUUCCUGGUCCAGCACCGACGGUCAGGCACGAAAGCGUGGGGAGCAAACAGG